rnacentral:tRNA from 3 species
GGUGUCAUAGCCAAGGGGAAAGGCAAGAGUCUGCAAAACUUAGAUUACCGGUUCGAAUCCGGUGGGCACCA